UUCAACCUAUUUCAGCCAAAAUACCAAUUUUCUGGGGAAAUUUAAAAACUUAUGGCCAAGACUCCCCAAAAUGCAACCAACUUGUUUUUUGUCUUUUAUGUUGCUAACCCAAUUACCCAACCAAACCCUAAUCUCCCGCUUCCCUCUCAAUUAGUUGUAUACACACUUCCCCCAAUUGAGAGAGCAUAUAAGCCCCAUUGAAGAACUUAAGCUCUCUUCCACAAGAAGGAAAAGGUCAAGUCAAAGGUCUAAAACAAACUUCGCUGACUAUCAAGUCGUGUAAAAGGCAUUUAGACGGUUAAAACUGGGUUUCAGGCUACUUCAAUAAGCAAUACAGGUAAAUUUGAAACUAUAGACCAGAUUCUUAGCACAGAAAAAGCUCAUUGCCCGUCUCAAUAAGACUAUAACCAAAAGAUUGCAUCCUCAAUACAUGUCUUUGUCAGAUUUAUUCUACUGUCUUUCCGCCAAUGGUGAUAAUACUUGUAUCAGCAUAAACUUACCUGCAGGUUAUAGUAUAAGCCUGAAGGCCUUCAGGGACUCAAUCACCAACAAGUCAACAACCCUCUUGUUUCCCUAUCUGACCGUAAUGACAACAGCCAACACUGCAAUGCAGAGCUGAGUGCAACUGGACUGUGAUAACCUGCAACCAGUUUACAUUAUUCUACAAGCAAGGUUGUACCAGAAUAAACUUUCUGCAGUCCCCAAGUCAUUAAUGUAAGUUAUUAACACAUUUGGAGAUCUUACUGAGUGAGCUAAGUGAGAAAAUACCUUCAGAUAUUCGCUCGAUACUGUCCCUAGAGAUGUUAAUGAUGCACUCAAACAAUUUCACAGGUUCAGUUCUUUGACCAACCUGAAAAACAUUAUAGACUUCUCAGCAUGUUUUAGCUUUAUCACAAGAGACCAGAAGAGAGAUACCAUCUGACAUUGAAAAGCUUUCUAGCUUGAAGAACCUUAGCUUGAACAGUAAUCUACUGGUUACUUCUCCCUAAUAUAAAAAUUGCACACACCUUUUUGUGGUAAGCUUAACAUAUUAAGUGGUGAAAUCCAAAAAGAUUUAGGGAAGUUGUUGAUCAUUACAUUCUUUGUGUUGAGAAACUCCACGUUUGGAAAUAAACGAGAUGAUUUGUUU